AGCGAACGCUGGCGGCAGGCCUAACACAUGCAAGUCGAGCGCCGUAGCAAUACGGAGCGGCAGACGGGAGAGUAACACGUGGGAACGUGCCCUUUGGUUCGGAACAACCCAGGGAAACUUGGGCUAAUACCGGAUAAGCCCUUACGGGGAAAGAUUUAUCGCCGAAGGAUCGGCCCGCGUCUGAUUAGCUAGUUGGUGGGGUAAUGGCCCACCAAGGCGACGAUCAGUAGCUGGUCUGAGAGGAGGAUCAGCAUCACUGGGACUGAGACACGGCCCAGACUCCUACGGGAGGCAGCAGUGGGGAAUAUUGGACAAUGGGCGCAAGCCUGAUCCAGCCAUGCCGCGUGGGUGAUGAAGGCCCUAGGGUUGUAAAGCCCUUUCGGCGGGGAAGAUAAUGACGGUACCCGCAGAAGAAGCCCCGGCUAACUUCGUGCCAGCCGCCGCGGUAA
rnacentral:rRNA from 1 species